UUAAGCGACUAAGCGUACACGGUGGAUGCCCUGGCAGUCAGAGGCGAUGAAGGACGUGCUAAUCUGCGAUAAGCGUCGGUAAGGUGAUAUGAACCGUUAUAACCGGCGAUUUCCGAAUGGGGAAACCCAGUGUGUUUCGACACACUAUCAUUAACUGAAUCCAUAGGUUAAUGAGGCGAACCGGGGGAACUGAAACAUCUAAGUACCCCGAGGAAAAGAAAUCAACCGAGAUUCCCCCAGUAGCGGCGAGCGAACGGGGAGCAGCCCAGAGCCUGAAUCAGUGUGUGUGUUAGUGGAAGCGUCUGGAAAGGCGCGCGAUACAGGGUGACAGCCCCGUACACAAAAAUGCACAUACUGUGAGCUCGAUGAGUAGGGCGGGACACGUGGUAUCCUGUCUGAAUAUGGGGGGACCAUCCUCCAAGGCUAAAUACUCCUGACUGACCGAUAGUGAACCAGUACCGUGAGGGAAAGGCGAAAAGAACCCCGGCGAGGGGAGUGAAAAAGAACCUGAAACCGUGUACGUACAAGCAGUGGGAGCCUCUUAAUGGGGUGACUGCGUACCUUUUGUAUAAUGGGUCAGCGACUUAUAUUCUGUAGCAAGGUUAACCGAAUAGGGGAGCCGAAGGGAAACCGAGUCUUAACUGGGCGUUAAGUUGCAGGGUAUAGACCCGAAACCCGGUGAUCUAGCCAUGGGCAGGUUGAAGGUUGGGUAACACUAACUGGAGGACCGAACCGACUAAUGUUGAAAAAUUAGCGGAUGACUUGUGGCUGGGGGUGAAAGGCCAAUCAAACCGGGAGAUAGCUGGUUCUCCCCGAAAGCUAUUUAGGUAGCGCCUCGUGAAUUCAUCUCCGGGGGUAGAGCACUGUUUCGGCAAGGGGGUCAUCCCGACUUACCAACCCGAUGCAAACUGCGAAUACCGGAGAAUGUUAUCACGGGAGACACACGGCGGGUGCUAACGUCCGUCGUGAAGAGGGAAACAACCCAGACCGCCAGCUAAGGUCCCAAAGUCAUGGUUAAGUGGGAAACGAUGUGGGAAGGCCCAGACAGCCAGGAUGUUGGCUUAGAAGCAGCCAUCAUUUAAAGAAAGCGUAAUAGCUCACUGGUCGAGUCGGCCUGCGCGGAAGAUGUAACGGGGCUAAACCAUGCACCGAAGCUGCGGCAGCGACACUAUGUGUUGUUGGGUAGGGGAGCGUUCUGUAAGCCUGUGAAGGUGUACUGUGAGGUAUGCUGGAGGUAUCAGAAGUGCGAAUGCUGACAUAAGUAACGAUAAAGCGGGUGAAAAGCCCGCUCGCCGGAAGACCAAGGGUUCCUGUCCAACGUUAAUCGGGGCAGGGUGAGUCGACCCCUAAGGCGAGGCCGAAAGGCGUAGUCGAUGGGAAACAGGUUAAUAUUCCUGUACUUGGUGUUACUGCGAAGGGGGGACGGAGAAGGCUAUGUUGGCCGGGCGACGGUUGUCCCGGUUUAAGCGUGUAGGCUGGUUUUCCAGGCAAAUCCGGAAAAUCAAGGCUGAGGCGUGAUGACGAGGCACUACGGUGCUGAAGCAACAAAUGCCCUGCUUCCAGGAAAAGCCUCUAAGCAUCAGGUAACAUCAAAUCGUACCCCAAACCGACACAGGUGGUCAGGUAGAGAAUACCAAGGCGCUUGAGAGAACUCGGGUGAAGGAACUAGGCAAAAUGGUGCCGUAACUUCGGGAGAAGGCACGCUGAUAUGUAGGUGAAGUCCCUUGCGGAUGGAGCUGAAAUCAGUCGAAGAUACCAGCUGGCUGCAACUGUUUAUUAAAAACACAGCACUGUGCAAACACGAAAGUGGACGUAUACGGUGUGACGCCUGCCCGGUGCCGGAAGGUUAAUUGAUGGGGUUAGCGGUAACGCGAAGCUCUUGAUCGAAGCCCCGGUAAACGGCGGCCGUAACUAUAACGGUCCUAAGGUAGCGAAAUUCCUUGUCGGGUAAGUUCCGACCUGCACGAAUGGCGUAAUGAUGGCCAGGCUGUCUCCACCCGAGACUCAGUGAAAUUGAACUCGCUGUGAAGAUGCAGUGUACCCGCGGCAAGACGGAAAGACCCCGUGAACCUUUACUAUAGCUUGACACUGAACAUUGAGCCUUGAUGUGUAGGAUAGGUGGGAGGCUUUGAAGUGUGGACGCCAGUCUGCAUGGAGCCGGCCUUGAAAUACCACCCUUUAAUGUUUGAUGUUCUAACGUUGGCCCCUGAUCGGGGUUGCGGACAGUGUCUGGUGGGUAGUUUGACUGGGGCGGUCUCCUCCUAAAGAGUAACGGAGGAGCACGAAGGUUGGCUAAUCCUGGUCGGACAUCAGGAGGUUAGUGCAAUGGCAUAAGCCAGCUUGACUGCGAGCGUGACGGCGCGAGCAGGUGCGAAAGCAGGUCAUAGUGAUCCGGUGGUUCUGAAUGGAAGGGCCAUCGCUCAACGGAUAAAAGGUACUCCGGGGAUAACAGGCUGAUACCGCCCAAGAGUUCAUAUCGACGGCGGUGUUUGGCACCUCGAUGUCGGCUCAUCACAUCCUGGGGCUGAAGUAGGUCCCAAGGGUAUGGCUGUUCGCCAUUUAAAGUGGUACGCGAGCUGGGUUUAGAACGUCGUGAGACAGUUCGGUCCCUAUCUGCCGUGGGCGCUGGAGAACUGAGGGGGGCUGCUCCUAGUACGAGAGGACCGGAGUGGACGCAUCACUGGUGUUCGGGUUGUCAUGCCAAUGGCACUGCCCGGUAGCUAAAUGCGGAAGAGAUAAGUGCUGAAAGCAUCUAAGCACGAAACUUGCCCCGAGAUGAGUUCUCCCUGACUCUUUAAGGGUCCUGAAGGAACGUUGAAGACGACGACGUUGAUAGGCCGGGUGUGUAAGCGCAGCGAUGCGUUGAGCUAACCGGUACUAAUGAACCGUGAGGCUUAACCU
rnacentral:rRNA from 1 species